UACGUAGGUGGCAAGCGUUGUCCGGAUUUACUGGGCGUAAAGGGCGUGCAGGCGGUCUGUUAAGUUCGGGGUGAAAGCUCCCGGCUCAACUGGGAGAGGUCCUUGGAUACUGGCAGACUUGAGGAGGGUAGAGGAGAGUGGAAUUCCCGGUGUAGUGGUGAUAUGCGUAGAUAUCGGGAGGAACACCAGUGGCGAAGGCGGCUCUCUGGGCCCUACCUGACGCUGAGACGCGAAAGCGUGGGGAGCGAACCGG
rnacentral:rRNA from 1 species